GACACAUCCAAAUACGGUGAAUUCUUCAUACUAGAAAGUAACUUUAUUAUUUCUAUUGCAUUUCAGCUGGGUUUAUUUUUAUUUUUAUUUUUAUAUAUUUACUUAUUUAUUUAUUUUGAUACGGUGUCACUUUGUCAUCCAGGCUGGCGUGCAGUGGCGCGAUCUUGCCUCACUGCAGCCUCAACCUCCUGAGUUCAAGGGAUCCUCCUACCUCAGCCCCCACCAAGUACCAGCUGCCUUUUUAAUGUCGCUCAUGCAUCACGUUCCCUGCAGGAUCCUGUGUCUCUGAAGAUAAGUAGCAGGCUGUGAGAACUGACAGAAUGGCUGCUGGGAUGUGGCCAUGGGAAUGAUCUUCUUAUCACAGACUGUACUUGGAAUCCUGGGAAUUUCUCUCUUAUUUAGCAUUAUCUGUCCUUUUACAUCACUGGGUGCAGGUUAAGGUCCACAGAUUUGAUGAUCAGACACCUAAUUGUAGCCAACACCUUAUUCCUCCUCCCUAGAGGAGUCCCACGGACAAUGGCAGCUUUUGAGUUUAGACAUUUCCUGAAUGAUUCCGGAUGUAAAUUUCUUUUUUGUGUCCACAGAGUAGGCAGGGGAGUGUCCAUUGGCAGCACCUGCCUCCUGAGUGUCUCCCAGGCCAUCACCAUCAGCCCCAGGAGCUCAGGUGGGCAGAGCUUAAAGGGAAAGCCCCCAAGCACGCUGGCUCCUGUGUGUUCCUCAGCUGGCUCCUCCCUGCUCAGUAUCAUUGUUCUUAUGCACGUGACUGACAAGUGGAGCAACAAAAAUACCACAAAGACAAAAGAUCUGGGAUACUGUUCUGCUGGUCAUCACGAGGACACCAGAGAGUCGCUGACGCGGCACUGCUGUCCUUCCCUGAUGUGAUCUGCCUGGGGCUCAUGCUCUGGGGCAGCAGCUCCAUCGUUUGCAUCCUGCACAGGCACAAGCGGCGGGUCCAGCACAUUCAUAGGACCAGCGUCUCCCCCACAUCCUCCCCCGAGUCCAGAGCUACCAAAACCAUCCUCCUGGAGCAGGAAAGGACAAGGAGUCCCCGAAGCUGAUACUGAGUUCAUGGGGUUGAGCUGACAGCGGCCAACAGGCUGUGAUGGGAUCUCACUCUGUCGGCCAGGCUGGAAUGCAAUGGUGCCAACUUGGCUCAGUGCAACCUCCCCACCCCGGGCUCCAACAAUCCUCCCAUCUCAGCCUCUGAAGUAGCUGGGACUACAGGUUCUAGCACAUAUUAACACCGUGUGUCUAAAGUCAUUCCUGCUGGUCAUCUGGAGGAAUCUGAGAAGGGGCAGGUCUUUCUUCUGACUCUCAGAGCAGCACCCUCUACAGGACAGGGCCGGGCACCUCAUCUCAAGCCCAAUCUGAUCCACCAACAGAGUCCGUUAUCUCCUGUCCGGGGAAGAGUCAAGCUGCACUAAUCUAGACCAGGGAUCCCCACCCCUGGGCUGCGGACCGGUCCCCAUGGGUGGCCUGUUAGGAACUGGACCGCACAGCAGGAGGUGAGCAGUGGGUGAGGGCGCGUGACCACCUGAGCUCUGCCUCCUGUGAGAUCAGCAGCGCCACUGCAUCUCAGAGGAGUGCCAACCCUACUGUGAACUGUGCACGCGAGGGAUCUGGGUUGCAUGCUCUUUAUGAGAAUCUAACUAAUGCCUGAUGAUCUCAGGUGGAACAGUUUAAUCCUGAAACCAUUCCCCCCAUCUGUGGAAAAACUGUCUUCCACCAAACCAGUCCCUGGUGCCAAAAACACUGGGAACCACUAAUCUAGACAGUUCUCUGCUAAGGAAGCACGUGGUUGAGAAGCAUCAGAAUCGUUCCCACGGACCAUGCUCCGGAGUCUCAGCAGGCUCCUGCAGUGUGUUUAUCCGUGCGUCAUGAAGGACCCUCAUACGGCUGACGUGCCUUGGCUGAUGCGAGUAACACUGCAGCAAGCGUGGGAGUGCAGAUAGCUCUUGGAAAUACCCAUUUCCUUCAGAUGCAUACUCAGAGGCCAGUCGCGGUGGCUCAAGCCUGUAAUCCCAGCACUUUGGACGACAGAGCGAGACUCCAUCUGAAAAAAAGAAAGAAAGAAAAAAAAAGAAAGUGACUUUUCAAGACUGUGAUUUAUGGUCUCCCCUGGGAACCAACAGUAUCUGUGCUGAGAGCAGAUAUUUGGGUGGAAGGGGCUCUGGUGUGCAGGGCAUGCCUUCUGUAGCUCAGUGCUUCUGACAAUGGGUCCAAGGGGAGAAACAUUGGCAUUAACAGGGAACUUGUUAAAGAUGCCAAUUUAUAAAUGCUACCUCAAACCUGCAGAAUCAAACAUUAUUACAGUGGGUUGUGGAGUGCCAGAUGACUUAUAUUCACCUUAAAGCUUGAGAGUCAGUGCUUAGCUAAGAGGCUUUCAGCCCAGGCUU